rnacentral:rRNA from 1 species
GAUGAACGCGGCGGCGUGCCUAAUACAUGCAAGUAGAACGCUGAAGCUUGGUGCUUGCACCGAGCGGAUGAGUUGCGAACGGGUGAGUAACGCGUAGGUAACCUGCCUCUUAGCGGGGGAUAACUAUUGGAAACGAUAGCUAAUACCGCAUAAAAGUCGACAUCGCAUGAUGUUGACUUGAAAGGUGCAAUUGCAUCACUAAGAGAUGGACCUGCGUUGUAUUAGCUAGUUGGUGAGGUAACGGCUCACCAAGGCGACGAUACAUAGCCGACCUGAGAGGGUGAUCGGCCACACUGGGACUGAGACACGGCCCAGACUCCUACGGGAGGCAGCAGUAGGGAAUCUUCGGCAAUGGGGGCAACCCUGACCGAGCAACGCCGCGUGGGUGAAGAAGGUUUUCGGAUCGUAAAGCUCUGUUGUAAGAGAAGAACGAGUGUGAGAGUGGAAAGUUCACACUGUGACGGAACUACCA